rnacentral:misc_RNA from 1 species
CGGAUCCAAUAUAUCAAGCGAGGUUGGGCUGCGGUUACUUCUUUGCCCGCUUGGUUCUAAUGUUGUAAUUCGAACAGCAUGCUGUUCUGUGGGGGUUAUUUUACCUGUGUACUCUACAUUCAAGGCAAUUGAGAGGAAAGAUCAAAAUGAGCAACAAAAAUGGCUAAUAUAUUGGGCAGCAUAUGGUUCUCUCAGCCUUGUGGAAGCAUUUUCAGACAAGUUACUCUCAUGGGUUCCAAUGUAUUAUCAUGUGAAGUUUGCAUUUCUAGUGUGGCUUCAACUUCCAUCUACUGAAGGCGCAAUGCAUUUGUAUAGGAACCACCUGCGUCCGUUCUUCUCCAGACAUCAAGCUAGAGUUGAUCUGCUUAUGGGCUUUGCUUAUGGUGAAAUGGCUAAAAUUGUCAGCACACACCGAGCAGAAAUUGAAUAUGCUAGAGCUAUAAUCUUGAAGAUUAUGGGUUCUGCUGACCAAACGAGUAAGGGCGAGUCUGAUCGUUCUAAAGAGCACCUGGCAAUUGAAGGCGGGACAAGGACAAGCACA